ACUCAUUGGACCCGGGGGCGGUACCCGGCGCCUCCACCAAAAUAUAAAAAAAUUAUAUUUUGGUGGGGGCGAAAUAGGAUCGACAAGAGCGUAAAGAUUGCUCUUUUACUCGGCAUAGUACCACCGUUAUCGGACUAAAUGAGUAGUUGCAAAUGACAACUAUGCGGAAGCACGUCUCGCCGCUUAAGGUGGUGUGAAUGUUUCAAAUUAAGCCUUAAACCGUCGCAGGUUUAAGCGGGGUUCGAAGG
rnacentral:tmRNA from 1 species